CACGUAGGGCGCAAGCGUUGUCCGGAAUUAUUGGGCGUAAAGAGCUCGUAGGCGGACUGUCACGUCUGCUGUGAAAAGCUAGGGCUUAACCCUGACCUUGCAGUGGAUACGGGCAGACUAGAGGUAGGUAGGGGAGAAUGGAAUUCCCGGUGUAGCGGUGAAAUGCGCAGAUAUCGGGAGGAACACCGGUGGCGAAGGCGGCUAUCUGGCACACAACUGACGCUGAGGCGCGAAAGCGUGGGGAGCAAACAGG
rnacentral:rRNA from 1 species